rnacentral:lncRNA from 1 species
CCGCCACCGCAUCACCACAACCACGGCUGCACCACAGCCGCACCACCGCGGCAUCACCACAACCACGGCCGCACCACCGCCGCAUCGGCCGCACUUCCGCCGCAUCACCACCACCACGGCGGCACCACCGCCGCAUCACCACCUGCCUUCUGCGUUGAUAUUCGACGGAUUUUUGUGGAAUUUUUUUUUGGGUUGUUGCUGGGUUUUGCAGAAGCUCAAAUCUUUCCCUUUUUUUUUCUUUUUCUCGAUCUGAUUAAAGAGGGAGAUUGAAAUUUUUGGUUUAUUGUAUUUUGGAAUUCAAUUUCAGAGUGGGAAGACGAUG